UGAGGCCACUGACACAAAUUUUAUUUUAUUUUUUUGGAUAAUCACGUUUGCGGACCAACUUACACGCACCUCGACACGUCACACGCAAUUCUUUUAUGUCCCUUCCACAAUUGUUUUCCUAUAAGUACUAAGUAGAACCUUCAAAGCCCAAAGUCAGAAACAAAAGUGAGAAAAGAAAGCAUAUAUGGCAGCUAAAGGAGUAAUCCUUGUUUUCUUGCUCCUAGCUUCAGUGUGUUUCAGCCAGGAUCCCAGAAUUUGCCCUCAUUAUUGCUUGAAAGCGGAGUACAUGACCUGCAAAUCAUCUGGGAAUGAGAAGCUUUAUCCUGGAUGCACCAACUGUUGCUUUCAAGCCGGAAAGGGCUGCACCUUUUAUUUUUCAAAUGGGAAAAAUCAAACCUGUCCAACAUAGCUUUUUAGCAAUGGACAAUGGAGAUCCAUCCAUAUAUAUGCAGCAUAAUAUACAAUAAACAUGCCGUCCCUAAUUGUUGGUCCUUUUUUCGAUAGCUGUACUUGUUAUAUGAUUAAAAAGAAACAUUUUCGUAAAUAACUUAUUGAAUUGUUUUACGAUGUUCAAAAGUUCUUCAAUCUCUCUUGAACAGCGUAAAAAAAAUUCACAAAGCUGUUUACGAAAUACUCUAUUUUUUUUAAUCAAAUACUGGUACUAUUAUUAUCGAAAAUGAAUCAACAAUUAGGAAUGAAGGAUGAGCUAAAUCUUUUUUUAGCAGUCUUUGGUGUAAUAGAUGAAAUGCAAUCAAUUAAUAAAGAGAUGAUCUCGUUGUAUCUGUAAGAAUUAAGGGCAUGCAACUUUGUUCGUUUUGGGGUUUUAAAAUUCUUAGACACGGUGUUCAAUAAAUAAA